rnacentral:piRNA from 1 species
UAGGCCUAUUUACUGGGUUAACUGAGGGACC